rnacentral:rRNA from 1 species
AUCCUGGCUCAGGAUGAACGCUAGCUACAGGCUUAACACAUGCAAGUCGAGGGGCAGCAUGUGGUUGCUUGCAACCAAUGAUGGCGACCGGCGCACGGGUGAGUAACGCGUAUCCAACCUUCCCCUUAGUAGAGGAUAGCCCGGCGAAAGUCGGAUUAAUACUCUAUGUUCUUCAAUGCGGACAUCUAAGUUGAAGCAAAGAUUUAUCGCUAAGGGAUGGGGAUGCGUCUGAUUAGGUUGCAGGCGGGGUAACGGCCCACCUGGCCUACGAUCAGUAGGGGUUCUGAGAGGAAGGUCCCCCACACUGGUACUGAGACACGGACCAGACUCCUACGGGAGGCAGCAGUGAGGAAUAUUGGUCAAUGGGCGCGAGCCUGAACCAGCCAAGUAGCGUGCAAGGACGACUGCCCUAUGGGUUGUAAACUGCUUUUAUCAGGGAAUAAAGUGAGGCACGCGUGCCUUUUUGUAUGUACCUGAUGAAUAAGGACCGGCUAAUUCCGUGCCAGCAGCCGC